rnacentral:rRNA from 1 species
AGACCGGCUUACUGGUCGUGCUAUUGUACGUACUGGUAUAAUCGGUUUCUCCUUUCUGACGAACUUUAAUGCCAUUAAUUUGGUGUUUUAGGGAAUCAGGACUGUUACUUUGAAAAAAUUAGAGUGUUUAAAGCAGGCUCACGCUUGAAUACAUUAGCAUGGAAUAACGGAAUAGGACGUUUGAUUCUAUUUUGUUGGUUUCUAGGAUCGACGUA